CACAGCAAACACCAGUCAGAAGUUUUCCACACCUUCUCCUGCAUUACAGAUGUGAAAAACGUACCUCUCGGCUCAUGGGUGGUAGAUACCACACGCUGCAGACGAUGGCCCAGCUGCUCAUCAUGUGGAGGAGAUAAUUCACCAUGCCAAACUUACUGCUGUUCCAGAAAGCAUCUCCGAACCUUGGGUCAUACUGUCAAAACACACACACACAAGUUUAGAUUAAUCUACUCAUCUUAGGAUUGUAAUCGUUACAGAUGUUGAACAUCAUUAAACCUGGUGACUCUAAA